rnacentral:rRNA from 1 species
AUUGAACGCUGGCGGCGUGCCUAACACAUGCAAGUCGAGCGGUAACAGGUGUAGCAAUACAUGCUGACGAGCGGCGAACGGGUGAGUAAUGCUUCGGAAUCUACCCAAUGGUGGGGAAUAACCAGCCGAAAGGUUGGCUAAUACCGCAUACGUCCCACGGGAGAAAGCAGGGGAUCGCAAGACCUUGCGCCAAUGGAUGAGCCGAAGUCGGAUUAGCUAGNGGUAGGGUAACGGCCUACCAAGGCGACGAUCCGUAGCUGGUCUGAGAGGACGACCAGCCACACUGGGACUGAGACACGGCCCAGACUCCUACGGGAGGCAGCAGUGGGGAAUAUUGGACAAUGGGGAAACCCUGAUCCAGCGACGCCGCGUGUGUGAAGAAGGCCUGC